UUGUGGAGGAGGGCGCCGAAGGUGGGGCUAAUGACUGGGGUGAAGUCGUAACAAGGUAGCCGUACCGGAAGGUGCGGCUGGAUCACCUCCUAACAGGGAGACAACAAAAUGUUAAUAUUAUUAUUUUGUCACCUUAGGUCGAUCGGUACCUCAGGUUCUUAAUUAAUUAAGAAUUUCAUUUCCUAAGUUUUUCUAGGUCACACCCAUUAUUUUUCCUGGGCCAUUAGCUCAGGUGGUUAGAGCGCACCCCUGAUAAGGGUGAGGUCCCUGGUUCAAGUCCAGGAUGGCCCAUAUCUCUAUGUUGGGGGUAUAGCUCAGUUGGUAGAGCGCCUGCUUUGCAAGCAGGAUGUCAGCGGUUCGAGUCCGCUUACCUCCACUGAUUACCACCUCUUCCAUAAUCUAUAGAAAGGAAAUUUUUUGAGUUGUGAUCAAAUUCUGAACGAAUCUAGCUUCCUAAUGAAUCCAUUAAGAUGCUGGACUCAUUGAAUAAAUUUCAUUGUUUUCAGAGAACCUUGACAACUGCAUAGAUUAUUUUAAAGACAAUAAGCAUCUUUAAUGAUGCAGAUUUAUUAUUUGUGCGAAUGCAUUAAUAACAAUUCUAUUAAGCUGAUGCUUCAAUUUUGAAGUUAUUGGUCAAGCUACAA
rnacentral:misc_RNA from 1 species